UACGUAGGGUGCGAGCGUUAAUCGGAAUUACUGGGCGUAAAGCGUGCGCAGGCGGUUUGGUAAGCCAGAUGUGAAAGCCCCGGGCUCAACCUGGGAACUGCGUUUGGUACUGGCAAGCUAGAGUACGGCAGAGGGGGGUGGAAUUCCACGUGUAGCAGUGAAAUGCGUAGAGAUGUGGAGGAACACCGAUGGCGAAGGCAGCCCCCUGGGCCGAUACUGACGCUCAGGCACGAAAGCGUGGGGAGCAAACAGG
rnacentral:rRNA from 1 species